rnacentral:rRNA from 1 species
AUGAACGCUAGCUACAGGCUUAACACGAUGCAAGUCGAGGGGAACGAUAUUGGAAGCUUGCUUCCGAUAGGCGUCGACCGGCGCACGGGUGAGUAACGCGUAUCCAACCUGCCCAUCACUUGGGGAUAACCCUUGCGAAAGUAAGACUAAUACCCAAUGACGUCUCUAGAAGACAUCUGAAGGAGAUUAAAGAUUUAUCGGUGAUGGAUGGGGAUGCGUCUGAUUAGCUUGUUGGCGGGGUAACGGCCCACCAAGGCGACGAUCAGUAGGGGGUUCUGAGAGGAAGGCCCCCCACAUUGGAACUGAGACACGGUCCAAACUCCUACGGGAGGCAGCAGUGAGGAAUAUUGGUCAAUGGACGAGAGUCUGAACCAGCCAAGUAGCGUGCAGGAUGACGGCCCUAUGGGUUGUAAACUGCUUUUAUAAGGGAAUAAAGUGAGUCUCGUGAGACUUUUUGCAUGUACCUUAUGAAUAAGGACCGGCUAAUUCCGUG